rnacentral:miRNA from 1 species
AUGGCCAGGGGAACUUGUUAAAAUGAAGAUUCUGAUUCAGUAAUACUGCAAUGGGGCCUGAGAUUCUGCAUUUUUAACAAGUUCCCAGGUGUCCAUGCCACU